rnacentral:tRNA from 1 species
AGAUGUAAAAAAGGACUUCUAAUCCUGCUAAUCACAUUGAACAUCUU